GCAGUGGUGGUUCAGUGGUAGAAUUCUCCCCUUUCAUGUGGGAGACUCAGGUUCAAUUCCCACCAAUGCC
rfam:Loxodonta africana unplaced genomic scaffold scaffold_1, whole genome shotgun sequence.